rnacentral:rRNA from 1 species
AGCGCAGGUGGUUUAUUAAGUCUGGUGUAAAAGGCAGUGGCUCAACCAUUGUAUGCAUUGGAAACUGGUAGACUUGAGUGCAGGAGAGGAGAGUGGAAUUCCAUGUGUAGCGGUGAAAUGCGUAGAUAUAUGGAGGAACACCGGUGGCGAAAGCGGCUCUCUGGCCUGUAACUGACACUGAGGCUCGAAAGGCGUGGGAGUAAACA